UCAUUGAAAGCAAUAUUCUAACCAUCGAGUUAAGUAGAUCACUUAUCAUCCCAAAGAUAACUGAAUGGAACCAUGCCGUCAAUGUAAAUUGAAGAAACUUAUUAGCUCUUAACAUGCUGUGAAUCCUCUCGAGGAGGUGCAUUCAGGAAUGCGAAACUAGUGGUGGAUAGUUGUCAUUAGCUCGUGCUGUAAGGUGUUGAGUUACAACCCUCGUGUUUAGUUAUCUUUGUUGAGUUUGGUACCCUGAAUAGACUAUCGAUGAUAAGCCAAAGAAAGGUGAGGAUGAAGUAAAGUCAUCAUGCUCUUUAUACCCUAGGCAACACACGUGCUAUAAUGGUUGGGACAAAGAGUCGCGAUUCCGUGAGGUGAGCUAACCCUAAAAACCCAUCCUUUUGUUCGAAUUGCAAGCUAUAACUUGCUUGCAUGAAGUCAAAAUCGCUAGUAAUCAUUGAUCAGCCAUAUAGAGAUGAAGUUCUUGGGCCUUGUGCACACCACUCAUCAUACCAUAAAAGCUUGCCUGCCAAAUGUUGUUACCUUAACCGCAAGGAAAAAGAUGUUGAAGGCAGGGUUAGUGACUUGAGUUAAGUCAUAGCAAGGUACUUGUAC
rnacentral:rRNA from 1 species